UUCAGAGCACUAUGCUAUGCUCUUUUAAAUAUUAAGCUUAGGCUCGUCUUUUCUGUAAAUUUUGUAGAGUUUGAAAUUUCUUUCUUCUACAACCUAUAUGGUUAGUCUCAGUCAGAAAUUUCUACACAGCUACAAAAUUUCCUAGAAAAUACUUUGCCUAUUAUAAUAUAUAGAUUGAUUAUCUUAAUUUUUAAAAAAAUAGAUAAAAUACAUUAAUCAAUCCAAAAUAUAACGAUUAAAAAAAUAUACUAAUUAAUUAAAGUAAAUUUAAUAAAUCUAGCAACUUAAUAUUUAAAUGAGUAUAGCAGUGUGAUGGA
rnacentral:rRNA from 1 species